CUCCAAAGAGACAAGGUGGGGAAGAAAGAAUCUCAAGACUGUCUCUUCAAGAACAAGUCACACAGAAGAACUUUCUAGUCCCAAAGGAGCAACUCAUGCUGCGGUCAUUUUUUUUCUGAAUGAAGUCAUCAUACCACCUUUAGAUGAAGUGCCUCUGCCACUCAAACCCUUCCAUGAAAUCUGAAGUGGCUUGUGUCUCUGGUGUUGGCAGAGAGGCAACCCAGGAACCUGUGUGACAUCCAGACGCAUCUGCAUCCAGACGUCUUCUGCUUGGAGAGACACCGGGCCAAAGGUUGGGGAGCUGUGUUACCCUGGGGCCUGAACAAUGUUGUCACCGGGGUUGAUGUUCUGGCUGUUGUCUGUUGAGAUGCUGGUGCUGAGCCCAGAGUCCUUGUGUUUGUGACAUGUUGAGAUUUCGACAGACAGGCUUCUUGAACUUUACGUUCUGCAACAUUUGAGUUUUAAUUUCCCACUCUAAUAAAGCCAUUCUUCUGUAAAAGUUGAAAAAGAAAUAAAUCGCUAGA